rnacentral:rRNA from 1 species
GACGAACGCUGGCGGCGUGCCUAAUACAUGCAAGUAGAACGCUGAAGGAGGAGCUUGCUUCUCUGGAUGAGUUGCGAACGGUUGAGUAACGCGUAGGUAACCUGCCUGGUAGCGGGGGAUAACUAUUGGAAACGAUAGCUAAUACCGCAUAAGAGUAGAUGUUGCAUGACAUUUGCUUAAAAGCUGCAUUUGCAUCCCUACCAGAUGGACCUGCGUUGUAUUAGCUAGUUGGUGGGGUAACGGCUCACCAAGGCGACGAUACAUAGCCGACCUGAGAGGGGGAUCGGCCACACUGGGACUGAGACACGGCCCAGACGCAGACGGGAGGCAGCAGUGGGGAAUAUUCGGAAAUGGACGGAAGGCUGACCGAGGAACGCCGCGUGAGUGGAGAAGGUUUUCGGAUCGUAAAGCUCUGUUGUAAGAGAAGAACGAGUGUGAGAGUGGAAAGUUCACAGUGUGACGGUAACUGAACAGAAAGGGACGGCUAACUACGUG